rnacentral:lncRNA from 1 species
AAGUAGGGGCCCUCACGCUCACACCGUUCGGGAAGUUCCCGAUAGGGUUGGAGAAAAAAGAAUCAAAACUGACCGCUAAUUUCGAUUAAAUAAAUGGUUUCCUCGUUAAAUUAGCCGAUUUUGUCAACUAAUCUUGUUUCUUUUAGGUAUCGAACUAGUAACCUUUGGAUCUUAUGUUGUUGGUUGCUGUGGAUUUCGAGGUUGAGUCCCAGUAGCUCCAGAGCGGAGCAACAAAAAUUACCUUUCUAAUUACCUCGUACAACACAAUCACCACACCAGCGCCACCUGGUAUCCACGGGAGAAUAGGCGUGACCCAUCAGUAAAAUUCCCCCCGGCAUCCGGGGGGCGCUAAUGUCAAAAUGUGCUAUUUCCCCCCGGCUGCCGGGGGGCGCUAGUGACAAAACUGUCUAUAGCUACAGCGCCCUUUUUGGGGAAAUAGACAAUUUUGACACACGCGCCCACCGGCUGCCGGGGGGAAAUAGAUUUUACCAAAUUGCAGACAGUUCCGCAAAAAGCAAACAAGACUGCUGGGGAAAACUCAUCAAAACAAAAUGCUAAAAAUCAUUUCAACGUAACAUCGCAGUGUGCUACAUAAACACACACAUCAAACAAUAGGAUAACAUUUUAAUUGGAAGUUGUUGAAACUUUUGCUCUUGCUCUUCUCUCUCGUGCUGAUCUGCACAGUAUAUUUGGCUUUCAUGUGCAGCUUUUUAACAAAUGUUGAUAUUACCUUAACUUUUAUUGAACAUAGAAUUAUGCAGUAUAAAAAAACUAAUUCUUUGGGAUAAUUUGUGGCUAUGGAAUUGCUCGAGAUGACUCUUAGGGCAAAAAUGUUCUUCAUGGAUCAAGAAAAAUUGGUUGUCGUGAUGUCUGAUGUCAACUAAAUAUCAUUGGAAAAAUAGGAAAAAGAUGUCUAAGGCAAUACAUAGAAUUCUAAAAGUUCGAGUGUGUUACCUCUUACCUGUUUAUCUUGUUCCAAGAACAUGACUGCAAUGCCUUUUAUUGUGUCAUGCUUUCAUGACUAAGGAGUAUUGGAGGAGGAGAGGAGAUGUAUCGAGCUUUAUGGAUAACAGGGCUUACUAUGACACACAAGUUGAGUUUCCCAUGCUGUAUUAUUUUUAAAAAUUUUUGUUUUUAAGCUUUUUCCACUUACAUCCAUAUUUUUCUGUUCAACAGGAAAGAAGUUCUACCAGACACGCGAAUUGCUCACACGCUAAUAGGAUUAAUAAUUGAACUUGUAUAUUGGACAAUCUUGGGGGUGGCAUGUUAUAGAAAAGCCGUCCACCUAGUGGAACAAAGGUAGUAGUCAAAGGAGCAGACGAUGGAAGGCAUUCCUGUGGACGGCUUUUAUCUUAUUGCAUUUGGCUUUUCUAUCAUAUGGUGUGAAUUAUUUGGACGGCUUUUCUAUCAAAGUAUUUUCCAUCAUCAUUCGUGGACGGCUUCUUUGCCAUAGGAGAUCGCCUAGACAUCAACGUCAAAGAAGCCGUCCAUGAAUGAUGAUGAUGGCAAAAUAUCGAUCAAAAGGAAGUCAGCACAGACAUCUGGGUUUUAGUAGUAUAUAUAUAUAGUUUUAGUAGCCUAUUACUUGCAUAAUUAGUAAUCUUUUUGCCCGUUUCUCCUUGACAUGUGAUAUGCUGAGCCUGGAGUGGAUUUGCACAAUGGGACUUAGACCUCGAAUGCUUGGCCAACAGCAAGGAAGGUGUCCGUGAAGUUUUCGACAUCGGACCAUUUCUGGCUGUUCAUUUCAUUGUUAAAACCAUCUAUGUAUCAUGUAAUGAAAAAUCUCAAGAAACCAUUGUUUACGGUCAUCAUAAAGGUAUCUUAUUGUAACAAAAAAAAACCUUUCAACUUGCAUCCUUCUUCAUCGUAUGCCAACUGUUAGCCGAGUUGUCAUUAAAAUAGAUGAUAAAAAGAAAUCGCUCACAUAUUCCAGGCAUGUAGCGGUUGAUAAUAUGGUGAAAUGAUUGCGACCUACGGCUUUCAAGGAACGUCUACGGAUUUGUAUAAUUGCUGAGUGGCUUUAGCACUUUGGGAAAUGAAGUGCCAAGUAAAAUUAAACUUUUCUUCUCUUGCUAAUUAGUUAAAAAAGAAAUUUCUAAUAAUGCAAGGAGACGAUUCUGAUGGAAAUUCAGUAUACAAUGGAAAGUCAUGGCGUGAGUGUUGAUCUUCCGCUGCCUCGCUAUCCGAUCUGACUAGUUGUCUGGGUUUUCGCUGUGAUUUUCAAUCAGUAUGCCGUUUCAGAAUCACCUGCCAGAAUUUUUUACAAGAACAUGGCAAAUGAUUAAUAACCAUAGAUAGCAGAUCUGAAAAAGUUUUGGUUGGGACAAGAUGCAGAAAAACCAAGAAAUUACAAAAAUUGGAUGCAGGAAAUCGAAUUUCCAUACUUAAAUCGCAUUCUUGUGUGUUACGGUAUCAAUUUUUAAGAAAUUUGAAGUGCAUAUCUGGGCUCCCUUCUUUUCUGUGGCCCCGUUUCCCCUUGACUCAUAAUAAGCCCGUAGGGGGUCAUGCCCCUACUGUACGGUAU